ACAGUACGCAUUCUUUCUAACAACAGGAGAGUCACACGGAGAAAGUUCACAAUAAUUUAACUUAUUUGGUUUUGCUUUUUUCUGAAAGUUUCUUUGUUGUCAAGGAGUUAUAAAGUGGCAAAAAAUUAAAAAAAAAUAAAAAAUCAAACAAAAGAUAUUAAAUUUUCCAAGGCGAACAUUCUAAAAAUUGAAGAUUAAAAAUUUCCAAAUCAUGGCCAUCGAAGGAGUAAAUCAACAAUUAAAUGGAAAUGAGCCAUCCGCACCGCCUGACUAUGACACACCUUUUUCCAAUACGGCAUUGGUUCAAAAUCCAUCACCGAUAAAUAUGUACCCAAAUUCAGAG